rnacentral:rRNA from 1 species
AUUGAACGCUGGCGGCAUGCUUUACACAUGCAAGUCGAACGGCAGCGCGGGGCAACCUGGCGGCGAGUGGCGAACGGGUGAGUAAUAUAUCGGAACGUACCGAGAAGUGGGGGAUAACGUAGCGAAAGUUACGCUAAUACCGCAUACGAUCUACGGAUGAAAGUGGGGGACCUUCGGGCCUCAUGCUUGUGGAGCGGCCGAUAUCUGAUUAGCUAGUUGGUGAGGUAAGGGCUCACCAAGGCGACGAUCAGUAGCUGGUCCGAGAGGACGACCAGCCACACUGGGACAGAGACACGGCCCAGACUCCUACGGGAGGCAGCAGUGGGGAAUUUUGGACAAUGGGCGCAAGCCUGAUCCAGCAAUGCCGCGUGAGUGAAGAAGGCCUUCGGGUUGUAAAGCUCUUUUGUCAGGGAAGAAACGGGACUGGUUAAUACCUGGUCCUAAUGACGGUACCUGAAGAAUAAGCACCGGCUAACUACGUGCCAGCCGCCGCGGUAA